UACGUAGGGGCCUAGCGUUGUCCGGAUUUAUUGGGCGUAAAGAGCUCGUAGGCGGUUUGGUGAGUCGGGUGUGAAAUCUCCACGCUCAACGUGGAGGGGCCACCCGAUACUGCCAUGACUAGAGUCCGGUAGGGGAGAAUGGAAUUCCCGGUGUAGCGGUGAAAUGCGCAGAUAUCGGGAAGAACACCCGUGGCGAAGGCGGUUCUCUGGGACGGUACUGACGCUGAGACGCGAAAGCGUGGGGAGCGAACCGG
rnacentral:rRNA from 1 species